ensembl:lncRNA
CUACCGCUGGUGCUGGCAGCUGCUUUGCCACUGAAUGGCCUGGGCCUCUGGGUCCUCCUCCCCCAGCUCAGGGACAGGCACAUCCUCUGCUUCUCUGUGACAGUGGCCAACCUCCUACCGAGGCUGACAGUGUCACUCAGGAUCCACAUGCCCUGCCAGGCCGCCAGUGGACUCUGCACUUCCUGUGCGGCAGCUGGCUUCCCUGUCAUAACCCUUCUGAUGCCGAGCGCACCUUCCUGAGCCUGAGCCUGAGAGCACUGCCUUCACCUUGUUCUCACGCUGAGGUAUGAGCCUCAGGGCUGCACUCUGAAGGUCAGCCCUACCUUGGAGGUGCUGAUGGCUUUCUCGUGUACUGUAAGCUGUUUCCAGAGGUUGCAGCCCUUCAGCUCUGUUGUGAAGGCUGCUCUCUCAUCCAUGAGCACACUUCAGAAUGGCCACCAUGAGCUUCUCUUUGUGAGUCUCAUGAGCUUUUGCUAUGAUGUGCGUGCUAAGUCACUUCCGUCAUGUCCGACUCUUUGUGAUCCCAUGGAUGGUAGCCUGCCAGGCUCCUCUCUCCAUAGGAUUCUCCAGGCAAGAAUACUGGAGUGGGUUGCUGUGCCCAACUCCAGGGAGUAUCACAUAUCCGGAGGCCAAGAGUACCUACUACUAAUAUAGGGCUUCCCAAGGUGGCUCAGUGGUAAAGAAUCGGCUUGCAAUACAGGAGAUGUGGCCUUGAUUCCUGGGUUGGGAAGAUCCCCUGGAGAAGGAAAUGGCAAUCCAUUCCACUAUUCUUGCCUGGAAAAGCCUAUGGACAGAGGAGCCUGGUGGGCUACAAUCCAGAGGGUCGCGAAAGAGUCAGAUACCACUUAGCGACUAAACAACAAAAACAAUUACAAGUAGGUAAAUGCUAAAUGUUCUUACCUUGGAAUUUCUUUAUUCAAUUCAUUUCACUUUCUCUAUACAUUUUCAUAUCAUGGCCUCAUUUAUUAUCUCACAUGCUUAUUAUAGUUUAUGUAUCUUACACUUACUGAUAUUUACCAUAUGUCAAGUUAAAGCUAAAAACAUUUUAAAUAUUCCAUUCAUUUAAAAACAACAGUAAACAUUACAUGCUAACAUAAACAAGAUAUUUUUAAGAAAAAUAAGGGUAGUUUCUAAAACAAAAAUUUUAGUGAGAAGCGUGGCAUUGUUUUACAUUUUUGCCAAUCUCUUGAAUGACUGUCUCAACAGAAAGCAUUUAGAUUCUCAUAUCUACUUUUGCAUUUGAGUCAGUUCUAAUGAGGUGGAUGAACCUAGAGCCUAUUAUACAGAGUGAAGUAAGUCAGAAAGAGAAAAACAGAUAACAUAUAUAUAUAUAUGAAAUCUAGGAAGAUGGUUCUAAUGAACCUGUAUGCAGAGCAGCAAUGGAGAUAUAGACACAGAGAACAAACUUAUGGACAAGGGCAGGCGGUAGGAAGGAGAGGGUGAGAUGAAUGGACAGAGUAGCAUUGACACAUACGUACUACCAUAUGUAAAACAGACAGCCGAUGGGAAUUUGCUGUGUGACUCAGAAAACUCAAACUAGGGCUCUGUAACAACCUGGAAGGGUAGGAAAGGGUGGGAGGUGGGAGGGAUGUUCAAGAGGGAGGGGACAUAUGUACAUCUAUGGCUAAUUCAUGUUGAUGUAUGGCAGAAAUCAAAUCAAUAUUGUAAAGCAAUUAUCCUUCAGUUAAAAAUAAAUAAAUUUAUUAAAAGAUGAUAUGAGAGGGU